CACCGCGUGCCGCCGCCGCGAACCCUGCGGGGAUGCCCGCACGCCGAGCGCCGGGCUGUGCGCGCUGCCUCGCCCAGCCCAGCCCUCCCCCCAUCCCGGCGCCCUGGAGGCAGGGAGCCUUCCCGCCGGCCCGAUGGGGAAGGCGAGAACGGUUAUUCGGUGCCUGGCUCCUUGGCGGGGCUGGACGCGUCUGCGCUUUGGUAGCCAACCGCCUGCAUCCAUCCAGCCCAUCCAGCAGGCUGUAGGAGCUGUGCGAUCUGGUUGCUCAAACGCGCUCCCAGGAACCAAGGUUAUCACCUGGGGGAAAGCCGGUAUCUGUCUGCGGGGUGCCCUCAGGCCACUGGAGGCCCUGCUUCCAAAUCCAACCUCAAUUCCCUCUCCAGGGUCGUGACCCUGGCUACCAGAUGCUUCCUGUUAGCUGCCCGCACUGGGGCCUCUCCUGGCUGAAAAGACACUCUGCCCUAGGACUCCUUCAACCUUGACCUUGACUCUGCUUGCCCUCUCUGGAUCCCUACUGCGCUAAUCUUAGAUUCACAAUUUUCCUUUUUUAAAAUUAAAAAAAAAAAAAAAUCCUGAAAAAUACAAAAUAUCAUAAUGGCCUCUACCUUGCAAAAUCAACUAUCUUUUUUUAAAAAUUAUGUAAAUUAAAUUGAAUUCACAUAUUCUGUAUUAUUAGCUUCAGAGGUAGAAUUUAGUGAUUCAUCAGUUGCAUAUAACACCCACAAAAUUAGCUGUCUUUUACAUUUUGGUAUAUUUGCUCCCAAUUGUUUUUUUUUUAAAAACAAAUCAUUUGUUUUUUUGCAAAAGUGAUACAAAAAAUGUACACAGUAAAAAUUUUAAAGUAAUGCAGAAAAAUACAGAAAAUAAAGGGAAACCAAAGUUUUUUCA
rnacentral:lncRNA from 1 species